rnacentral:tRNA from 1 species
GCCCUGAUAGUGUAGUGGCCUAGCACGCAGCCCUGUCACGGCUGCAACCCGGGUUCAAAUCCCGGUCAGGGCG